rnacentral:rRNA from 1 species
AAUGACCUGGGAUCAAGGAAGGAAACCCCCUGAACUUAA